AUGAACGCUGGCGGCGUGCCUAAUACAUGCAAGUCGAGCGAAUGGAUUAAGAGCUUGCUCUUAUGAAGUUAGCGGCGGACGGGUGAGUAACACGUGGGUAACCUGCCCAUAAGACUGGGAUAACUCCGGGAAACCGGGGCUAAUACCGGAUAACAUUUUGAACCGCAUGGUUCGAAAUUGAAAGGCGGCUUCGGCUGUCACUUAUGGAUGGACCCGCGUCGCAUUAGCUAGUUGGUGAGGUAACGGCUCACCAAGGCAACGAUGCGUAGCCGACCUGAGAGGGUGAUCGGCCACACUGGGACUGAGACACGGCCCAGACUCCUACGGGAGGCAGCAGUAGGGAAUCUUCCGCAAUGGACGAAAGUCUGACGGAGCAACGCCGCGUGAGUGAUGAAGGCUUUCGGGUCGUAAAACUCUGUUGUUAGGGAAGAACAAGUGCUAGUUGAAUAAGCUGGCACCUUGACGGUACCUAACCAGAAAGCCACGGCUAACUACGUG
rnacentral:rRNA from 1 species